rnacentral:rRNA from 1 species
GAAUUUUGGACAAUGGGCGAAAGCCUGAUCCAGCAAUGCCGCGUGCAGGAUGAAGGCCUUCGGGUUGUAAACUGCUUUUGUACGGAACGAACAGCUUUUGGUUAAUCCCCUGGAGUCCUGACGUUCCCGUAAGAAUAAGCCCCCGCCCACCACGUGCCCGCAGCCGCGGUAAUACGUAGGGUGCAAGCGUUAAUCGGAAUUACUGGGCGUAAAGCGGGCGCAGGCGGUUUUGUAAGACAGAGGUGAAAUCCCCGGGCGCAACCUGGGAACUGCCUUUGUGACUGCAAGGCUAGAGUACGGCAGAGGGGGGUGGAAUUCCGCGUGUAGCAGUGAAAUGCGUAGAUAUGCGGAGGAACACCGAUGGCGAAGGCAACCCCCUGGGCCUGUACUGACGCUCAUGCACGAAAGCGUGGGGAGCAAAC